GACCAGACUCCUACGGGAGGCAGCAGUGGGGGAUAUUGCACAAUGGGGGAAACCCUGAUGCAGCGACGCCGCGUGGGUGAAGAAGCGCCUCGGCGCGUAAAGCCCUAUCGGCAGGGAAGAAGGAGGACGGUACCUGACUAAGAAGCCCCGACUAACUACGUGCCAGCAGCCGCGGUAAUACGUAGGGGGCAAGCGUUAUCCGGAUUUACUGGGUGUAAAGGGGGCGCAGACGGCAGCGCAAGCCAGGAGUGAAAGCCCGGGGCCCAACCCCGGGACUGCUCUUGGAACUGCGCGGCUGGAGUGCAGGAGGGGCAGGCGGAAUUCCUGGUGUAGCGGUGAAAUGCGUAGAUAUCAGGAGGAACACCGGUGGCGAAGGCGGCCUGCUGGACUGCGACUGACGUUGAGGCCCGAAAGCGUGGGGAGCAAACAGGAUUAGAUACCCCCGUACG
rnacentral:rRNA from 1 species